rnacentral:rRNA from 1 species
GACAGAGGGGGCAAGCGUUGCUCGGAAUUACUGGGCGUAAAGGGCGCGUAGGCGGGAUGGCAAGUCGGUCGUGAAAUCCCUCGGCUCAACUGAGGAGCGUCGAUCGAAACUGCCGUUCUUGAGGGUUGCAGAGGAGACUGGAAUUCCCGGUGUAGCGGUGAAAUGUGUAGAGAUCGGGAGGAACACCGGUGGCGAAGGCGGGUCUCUGGUUGGAUACUGACGCUGAGACGCGAAAGCGUGGGGAGCAAACAGG